UGUCACUGGCUCUCACUGCUGGGAGUGACUCCUGGGAGACAACAGACUGAGGCCUCUCUCCUACGUUCUGCUAGAGAACAACUCUCCCCCAGGAUAACACAGCUAAUAGCGGGUUAGCGUGGACAGACAGGCAGGGGAACAGAGAGAAAUAAUGUUUGGGUAAGGGUGCAAAACAGUGAUAUCAACACCCCAGCUCUCCAACCAUCGCAGGCUGUAGGUGUGCAAGGCAGUAUCUAAACAAAGAGCCUGCAGCCUCCAGAAGGUCAGCCAGAAACCACACUUAGUUGCCAGCAGCAAGGAAGUAUUUGGGGCCAACCAGGUAGCAAACACCAUCCAAACAGGCUCUUACUAACUGGGAGGCAGAGAGGAGCACGCAAGCCCCACCAUGGUACUAGUGAUGGUGGUGAUGAUAGGCAAGGCUGAGGUGGAAGUCCCACACCAUGAGUCAGAGGGAUGGGGAGAAUCUGCCCCAAGCAGCUGCAGCCUUCAGACACACGUGGGCUGAGUGUUUCUUGAUUACAGAUAAUUCAAUUCAUGUGGGGAUGAAGAGGGAAAAACAAUAAAAUGAAGGUUUCAGAAGGGCCUAGGUUUCUAUGUUCUGGUCUUGUAGCUGGUGGCCUGGGAGAUGCUUUGGGUUCUGGAAGCUAAGGCUGCUCCUGGAACCUCUCAAACAGCGGCAGAAUACAAAUCAGCCCACCCCAUGCACAGACGGCUGGGAUCCUUUGAGACUCUUGUUUUAUGGAUGAAAUAAAUUCAGCCAAUGGGGAAUGGAAGGCACUGUGAUGGAUUCAGAGGGAGCUAUAAUUUACAGCCCUGUCUCCUGGGCAGCACUUGAGGAGGAAGGAGAGCAAGCAUCAAGCCUGGGCUCAUGGCAAAACAUUACUUGCUUCCAAAACACAAGAGGCAGAGCUACAGAGGGGGUUCUCAGUGGAACCAGCUGUGAGAGGAGGAUCAGUUGCAAAGCUUAAGGCAAAGCCACAGCCAUCUGAGUUCAGAUGGUGCCCAGCUUAUGGGACACAGCAAAGGCAGCGCUCCCAUCACAGCACUGGGCCUCCUCCAGUGCUCUGUGCACACAGAGAAGGGAGAUAAUGGCUGAAAGAAGGUCUGUGUCUUCAAUAAUCUUUAAAGAGAUCUGAUUCUCUAUUACAUUGCUCUGAGUUAUGUGAUGCACAGAAGAAAGAUUGGGUUCCCUC
rnacentral:lncRNA from 1 species